UGGGGAAUAUUGGACAAUGGGCGCAAGCCUGAUCCAGCAAUGCCGCGUGUGUGAAGAAGGCCUUCGGGUUGUAAAGCACUUUUAUCAGGAGCGAAACGCUGUCGGCUAAUACCCGGCGGAACUGACGGUACCUGAGGAAUAAGCACCGGCUAACUUCGUGCCAGCAGCCGCGGUAAUACGAAGGGGUGCAAGCGUUAAUCGGAAUUACUGGGCGUAAAGCGUGCGUAGGCGGUUUCUUAAGUCUGCUGUGAAAUCCCCGGGCUCAACCUGGGAAUGGCAGUGGAUACUGGGAGGCUAGAGUGUGUCAGAGGGUGGUGGAAUUCCCGGUGUAGCGGUGAAAUGCGUAGAGAUCGGGAGGAACAUCAGUGGCGAAGGCGGCCACCUGGGACAACACUAACGCUGAGACACGAAAGCGUGGGGAGCAAACAGGAUUAGAUACCCUGGUAGUCCACGCCCUAAACGAUGCGAACUGGAUGUUGGUCUCAACUCGGAGAUCAGUGUCGAAGCUAACGCGUUAAGUUCGCCGCCUGGGGAGUACGGUCGCAAGACUGAAACUUAAAGG
rnacentral:rRNA from 1 species